ensembl:lncRNA LINC02611 long intergenic non-protein coding RNA 2611
GUGUUAUCUCACUGGUGGCUUGAAAUUGGCUGUGAUGGGAGUAUUUACACCACAGAAACCAGCAAAUUCCUCAAAUCAGACCUUUUUAUUCCCAGAGAGUCAGUUGUGAAACGUUUACCAGCACCACUGGAGGAGUGAGAUCAGAGCACUUUCAGUAAGAGAGCAGUGGCACGUUAGCAAAUGGAAGGGAGAAAAAGACAGCAGCAAACGUGGACAGGUUUGCGGGCUUUGUGGCAGGGAAGUGAGCGCGUUGCCUCUGAUGACUUUCAUUUCUCUCAGUUACACUGAGGUGAGGCCAACUGCUCUGUGUGUGGAAGCCAGAGAAGAAAGCAGCACAGAACAGAUGCAAACCAAGGAGGCUGGAAGAUAAGAGCAGAGCCAUCAGGACACGAGCCCCUCGCGGGUAUGAAACAGGAGUCGUGGGAGCAAAUUAGUAGGUGCACUGCAUGGAGGGACGGAAGGGGCAGGGAGGAGCAUCUGAAUGUAAGAUUUCAGAGAAGCUCAUUUUGUCAGCAUUUCAGAGCUUCCUGUGUGCAGCAUGGAUCUAAAGCUGGUGGAUGCAGGGGGGUGAACAAGACAACAUCUUCACUUCCUGCAUGCUGAUGGCAGAAGUGAGACAUCAGCGAAGAAACAUCACGAUCACCAAAUUACGAUGAACACCAUGGAGGAAACAAAGGACACUGUGACACCAAGGAAGGAAGGGAGGUUACUUUUCAUAGUGGCUGUAAAUAGAACUGAAGGCUGAAAAACAGCUGUUAAAAUGGCUUGUUUGUUUGAAGAUGAAUGAGAGUACACAAUAAAAGGAAAAAAAUUUGGACACAGACACACACAGAGGGAUGACCACGUGGAGAUGCAGGGAGAGGAUAGCAGCUACAGGCCAGGGCGAGAGGCCUCAGAGGAAACCAGUCCUGCUGACUCUUUGAACUCGGACUUCCAGCCUCCAGAACUGAACCACUGUCUUCCUUUAUCCCAGGAUGUCUGCAAGGAAGAAAAUGUCCUUUUUCUAGCAUUUAGAGGCCACCAACAUUGAAUAACCACACUGGGGUAGACACAGCGGCGAAGAGAUUCCUGCUGUUCCCAUCACAGCAGCCUUGGAGAUGAGAAGACAGAUGGAUCUGACCAGAGUGAGUCCCAGCCCGACCUUCUCCCACACACUCUACACAUCAGCUAUCAAGACUGAGCCAGCCUUGUGAGGGCAGAGUGGGAGGGAGAUGAGGCCCAAGGUUCUUAGAAUUCACCUGGCCUCAUCAGGACCUUCAAGAUCUUCCUCUCUUCUCUGCUACCAAAACUGUGUGAGGGGGAAAAAAAGCCAGGGUAAGAUUGGAAAUUCAGCCACCCACAUCCUUGCAGUGACUAACAGCUGUUAAGAGACAUUUUAUUUGUGUUUUGUUUUGUGACAGAGUCUCCCUCUGUCACCCAGGCUGGAGUGCAGUGGUGCAAUCUCAGCUCACUGCAACCUCUGCCUCCUGGCUUUAAGUAAUUCUCCUGCCUCUGCCUCCCGAGUAGCUGAGAUUACAGGGGCCCGCCACCACACCCUGUUAAUUUUUGUAUUUUUUAGUAGAGACGGGGUUUCACCAUGUUGGCCAGGCUGGUCUCAAACUCCCGACCUCAGGUGAUCUUCCUACCUUGGCCUCCCAAAGUUCUGGGAUUACAGGUGUGAGCCACUGUGCCCAGCUAAGGGACAUUUUAAUAAACCCCAAACUGCAAACAGCCUUAAGCUAAAAAAUGGUAUUCUGAGCAUGUAUUCUCAGAUAGGAAGGUUUAGAAGAGCCCAGCGAAGCUGGCUUAGUGCCCUUCAAGUCACCCCAAAAGAGCUAGCUGCCUGACUGAAGCCAGAGCCUGCCCUCCUUUUAAUGUGUACAGCAUCUCACGGACUGCCCUGUUUACAGCACCUCUUACGGUUAGAUGUGGCCACCACAAGGAUGCUCUGCUGUGUUCAUGGACAGCAUAGCCAUGGGGGGGACACGGGCUCUGGGGUCAGAUUUGUUUCUGUUUGUGUCUCAGAUCUGCGACUUAAUAUGUGUGACCUCAGCGAGUUACUUAUUCCUCCUGUGCCUCAGUUUCCUCAUAUGCAAAGUGGGAUAAUAAUGGCAACUCCCACAUAGGGUUUGCUGAGGAUUAAAUGAGUGAGUACACGACUGUAGCACGAUGUAGGAGUGUUUAAUGGCAUUAUCGUCAUGAUUAGCUGUGUGGGCCUUGGCUUCCCAUCUGUAGCAUAGAGCUACCAAUACCUACCUAUGGCAUAUUGUUACUUUGGGGAUUAAACGAGACGCUGAAUGACAAGCACAUGGCAUAUAGGUGCAAGUGUUUGUUCCUUUCCUGCUUCUACCAUUUUUUUUCCCGAGACAGAGUCUUGCUCUGCCGCCCAGGCUGGAGUGCAGUGGCUUGAUCUCAGCUCACUGCAACCUCCACCUCCCGGGUGCAAGCAAUUCUCCUACCUCAGCCUCCUGAGUAGCUGGGAUUACAGGCGCCAGCCACCACAUCUGGCUAAUUUUUGUAUUUUUGGUAGAGACGAGGUUUCACCAUGUUGGCCAGGCUGGUCUCAAGCUCCUGACUUUGUGAUCCACCUGCCUCAGCCUCCCAAAGUGCUGGGAUUAUAGGCAUAAACUAUCGCGCCCAGCCUGCCCCUUCUACUAUUUUAAGGAACACUGGUGAUUCAGUUAACAUCUCAUCUGGCAGGAACAUUCAUUGAUACCAACAUCCUCAACAUCUAACCGAGUUGAGUAACCAGAAUAACUACCUCCAGGGUCAUGCUCUGAGGAUUCCAGCUUUAUCUGUAGUGAAACUUUCUCUGACAGCCUGCUGAUUUCCCCUUCCCAGAUACAAAGUCCUUUUGAUCACUUACUAUGAGUCAGACACGUUCUGAGCUUUAUCUCCUUUAAUCCUCACCAUAACACCAUGAGGUAGAUAUCAUCAUCCCUGUUUUAUAGAUGAGAAAAGUUGAGCGUAAAAAGGUUAAAAAAAACUCCAACACUUUGGGAGGCCGAGGUGAGUGGAUCACCUGAGGUCAGGAAUUCGAGACCAGCCUGGCCAACACGGUGAAACCCCGUCUCUACUAAAAAUACAAAAAAAUUAGCCAUGCGUGGUGCUGGGAGCCUGUAAUCCCAGCUACUCGGGAGGCUGAGGCGGGAGAAUUGCUUGAACCUGGGAGGCGGAGGUUGCAGUGAGCCAAGGUUGCACCAUUGCACUUCAGCCUGGGCAACAAGAGCAAAACUUCGUCUCC